CAGUGCCAUAUGGUAUUUACUUUUGGGCAGGGCUUUUUUUCAGCCGGAACUUGCCGGAACUCAGUUCUGGCAGCUCUCAGGUGGGCACCAUUGCCAUUCUGAGAGAAGAAGGGAAGUGUUCAUGAACAAUACUGCAUCCUGGCUUCUCCUAAAAUGAUAUCAGCACAGACCAAACAGAAGCAUUACAUCAUCAGAACGAUCUCUCAUUGGAUGGUCAAUGAUGCAGCAACUUCUGUUCCCUAGCAACUUCCCAGGGUGUUCUAACUCCUUUUGCAGGCAUUGGGACAAGACAAUUUUCAUUGGUAACGCAGCAUCUGAGAAGAGCUGUCUUAAAGCUCCUGUCAUUUUAGCUGUUGAACUUUCAGAGCUAGUUCAUAGCAAGAGUGACAGGACAGGACAAAGGGGAGCAUUCCAAGUGUAACUGAAGCAGACAUUUAAAGGAAAUCUGCAAGCUCCUUC